rnacentral:rRNA from 1 species
GUGGAUUAGAUACCCUGGUAGUCCACGCCGUAAACGAUGAGUGCUAGGCGUCGCGGGUUUUGACCCCUGCGGUGCCGUAGCUAACGCGUUAAGCACUCCGCCUGGGGAGUACGGCCGCAAGGUUAAAACUCAAAGGAAUUGACGGGGGCCCGCACAAGCGGUGGAGCAUGUGGUUUAAUUCGACGCAACGCGCAGAACCUUACCUAGGUUGGAAACCCCUCGAACCUGCUAGAGAUAGUGGGGUGCCUCUCUGAGGAGCGAGGUGUCCAGGUGCUGCACGUCCGUCGCCAGCU